AGGGGCGAAAAGUAAAGGUUUUCUGAAAAAUGAAAAGAGGGCUAUAAAUCGAAAACAAACACAACGAAAGUUUCGAGUCUCUCUGUUGGGCGUGUGUUGGAUUUUUCGCGUGAAUCGCCAUGGCUGCUCUGCAAUACUUGGAAUCGCUUCGCAACGCGCACCCUGAGCUAUCUGAUUGGUACAAUUCGCUCGCCGAUCUAUACCAGAAGAAGCUCUGGCACCAGCUCACUCUCAAGCUCGAGCAGUUCGUAGCUCUUGCUGUUUUUCAGGCUGGUGAUGCUUUGAUACAGUUAUAUCACAAUUUCAUCACUGACUUCGAGACCAAAAUCAACCUUCUCAAGCUUGCACAUUUUGCCGUGAUAGUUUCUCGGCAGUAUUCUGAGAAAGAAGCUGCUGUUGGUUAUCUUGAAGGGGUCAUUGAGAAACUGCAAGCUACAAGAGAGCAGCGCAUAGAAGAACCUAUUCUUUACAUCAAGAUGCAAAUAGCCAUAUUCAAGCUUGAGCAAGGUGACCAAAAGGAAUGCAAGAAACUUCUAGAAGAUGGAAAGAGUACACUUGACAGCAUGACAGACAUUGAUCCAUCUGUAUAUGCUAGCUAUUACUGGGUUUCAUCUCAGUAUCACAAAACACGCCAGGAAUUUGCUGAGUUCUACAAAAGUGCUCUUCUCUAUUUGGCAUACACAUCGGUGGAGUCUCUCUCAGAUUCAUUCAAGCUGGAUUUGGCAUUUGAUUUGUCCCUUUCUGCUCUGUUGGGGGAUAACAUCUACAAUUUUGGAGAGCUACUUGCCCAUCCUAUUAUUAAGAGCCUUCUGGGAACAAAGGUGGAAUGGCUUUACUAUAUUCUGCAGGCAUUCAAUUCUGGUGAUUUAGCUCGAUAUCAGGAAUUAUGCAGGGUGCAUAAUGCUGCUUUAAGAGCCCAACCAGCACUAGUUCAAAAUGAACAGAGGCUGUUGGAAAAGAUCAACAUCCUCUGCCUGAUGGAAAUUAUAUUCAGUCGGCCUUCUGAAGAUCGAACUAUUCCUUUGGGUGUAAUUGCUGAGCGUACAAAACUUUCUAUAGAGAAUGUGGAGCAUCUCCUUAUGAAGAGUCUAUCUGUAAGUUUUAAAGUUCUAGAAAGGAGUAUAAAUAAUUUGUUUUGAUUUUCUUUGGAACCAUCUAAAGUAGCACACUUUCAACCUGUGGAUUUGGGUAAAUAAAAAUAUCUUUUCAUUAUUUUAUUAGUUGUUCCUUAUUUACUAAUCGUUUGUCAAUUAGUUAUAUUAUUUCACUAAUCAUAAUGUUUUAAGCUUGCAUUCUGUUCAGGAAUGUGAUAUAAACCAUGUAAUAUAUGGCUUUGUUUGAGAGUUAAUUCUAGGAGGGAAAGAGAGGGAAAGAAAAAGUUUUUGAUGGUAACCUUUGUUUGAGUGUUUUUUAAUGUAAGGGGAGUGUCCCUCCAAAAUCCUCAUAAAUUAAUGUUUUUAAGUUUUCCCAAAUUGGGAGGUUUUUUUAUUAGCCCUCCUUCUCUUUUCCUUUCCUCCCUUACUCCUCUAACUCUUCCCUCUCCCUCCAAACUCCCAAACAAAGCUUAACUGAUAUUUCUUGAAGUUCUUGAGCGUCUGAGAAUUUGACAUGUCAUCACUUGAAAAAUUAUGGUGUUGUCUUGAUUAAUGAUUAGUGCUUUGAACAAUUUAGUUGAUUCUGUUUUUGGGUUGGUUGUAAAACAUGACACUUGAGAAGUGUGUUUUUUUUUUUCUUAACUGAGAAUGAUAUCUUGCAUCCUGUGGCAGAUUUGUCAGAGUAACUGGUAUGAUCUGGCGGUUUAAAUGUUUCAGAAUAGUUUUUAUACUUGAUUUUAUUUAAAGCACAUCUAAAAGACUUGUGUUUUUUUUCUGCUCUACCAUUGGUAGUUGGUUAACAUGUAAAUAAUCUGUUUGGACUUUAAUGACUAGCAAACAGUUGUGUGGUUUUUAUUGGCAAUUAACUUUCUGUUUUGUCCAACACCUGGGAAUCAACUGUACCCAUUCACUAAGAAGUGGGAGAAAAAGGGAUAAGUGGGUUAGUUGAUUUGGAUACUUUAGUGGAAUUAAACUGAAGUGUGCUUCUAGGCUAAACUUUUAUUGAGCAUUUGCAUUGUUUACCAAGAUCUAUAAAUUUGAGGAAUUUUGAAUGGAACCUGCUAUGCAUCUAAUGUUGGAAGUUUAAGCUGCAUAAUUACCAAAUUAAAUUGCAAGGGAAGUUGAAAUAUUGCUUUUGCAUUUUGGAAUUGAUAUUAUAUUCACUUUUUGUUUCCUUUUGAUCUUGUCCUUUCAGUAACUCCUGUUUUAAAUAUGGAGCUUUUCAUUCCAAUAAAUAGUUUCUACUGAUAUUUCUAUACCUUUUUAGUGACUGACUAGAGGGUUUUAGUUGGAAAUUAUAAAUGGCUUUGUGGUCUGGAUAAAGUUAGUAUGCUGCUUUACUGAGGAUGUUCAUUGUUCAUCUAAUUGAGGGUAUAAUCGAUCAAGUUGAGGGUACAGUGCAUGUUUCCUGGGUGCAGCCAAGAGUUCUGGGUAUUCAACAGAUCAAAUCCUUGCGGGAUAGACUGGACAGUUGGACAGGAAAAGUACACACUGCAUUGUUGUCCAUCGAGGCAGAAACACCUGAUCUAAUUGGAUCAUGAUUUUGCUUUGUUUGUUUUCUGCCCAUUGUAACCACUUCUUAAGUUAAAGGAGAACACGUCCUAAGGCGACAAAAGAUGAAGAGACUUCCAAGUCGUGGGCAAUAUAGCCAACUUUAUAUGCUUCAUUUGGUUUUGCAUGCUGCUUUUGGCUUAGAAAUUGUUGGUUCUAUGGUUGCAUGCCUAGAGACAUGGUGAAUCGGUUGGGAACAGGCUUUUUAUGCAUUAGAGUGAUGACAAACUAUGUAUCUGGAAUUUUUCUUAGAUACGGCCAUUUGAAAUUCACUUUUAGAAGUUCUUUUCAUCCAACUGUUCCCCUUCGUUUGCCUAAAUAUUUCACGUGCUUCAAAAUGGGUGCUCCUGAA